GUAGGUGGCAAGCGUUGUCCGGAAUUAUUGGGCGUAAAGCGCGCGCAGGCGGUUCUUUAAGUCUGAUGUGAAAGCCCACGGGCUCAACCGUGGAGGGUCAUUGGAAACUGGAGAACUUGAGUACAGAAGAGGAAAGCGGAAUUCCACGUGUAGCGGUGAAAUGCGUAGAGGUGUGGAGGAACACCAGUGGCGAAGGCGGCUUUCUGGUCUGUAACUGACGCUGAGGCGCGAAAGCGUGGGGAGCAAACAGGAUUAGAUACCCUGGUAGUCCACGCCGUAAACGAUGAGUGCUAAGUGUUAGGGGGUUUCCGCCCCUUAGUGCUGCAGCUAACGCAUUAAGCACUCCGCCUGGGGAGUACGGCCGCAAAGGCUG
rnacentral:rRNA from 1 species